rnacentral:rRNA from 1 species
GACGAACGCUGGUUGGCGUGCUUAACACAUGCAAGUCGAACGGAAAGGCCCUGCUUUUGUGGGGUGCUCGAGUGGCGAACGGGUGAGUAACACGUGAGUAACCUGCCCUUGACUUUGGGAUAACUUCAGGAAACUGGGGCUAAUACCGGAUAGGAGCUCCUGCUGCAUGGUGGGGGUUGGAAAGUUUCGGCGGUUGGGGAUGGACUCGCGGCUUAUCAGCUUGUUGGUGGGGUAGUGGCUUACCAAGGCUUUGACGGGUAGCCGGCCUGAGAGGGUGACCGGCCACAUUGGGACUGAGAUACGGCCCAGACUCCUACGGGAGGCAGCAGUGGGGAAUAUUGCACAAUGGGCGGAAGCCUGAUGCAGCAACGCCGCGUGCGGGAUGACGGCCUUCGGGUUGUAAACCGCUUUCGCCUGUGACGAAGCGUGAGUGACGGUAAUGGGUAAAGAAGCACCGGCUAACUACGUGCCAGCAGCCGCGGUGAUACGUAGGGUGCGAGCGUUGUCCGGAUUUAUUGGGCGUAAAGGGCUCGUAGGUGGUUGAUCGCGUCGGAAGUGUAAUCUUGGGGCUUAACCCCUGAGCGUGCUUUCGAUACGGGUUGACUUGAGGAAGGUAGGGGAGAAUGGAAUUCCUGGUGGAGCGGUGGAAUGCGCAGAUAUCAGGAGGAACACCAGUGGCGAAGGCGGUUCUCUGGGCCUUUCCCUGACGCUGAGGAGCGAAAGCGUGGGGAGCGAACAGGCUUAGAUACCCUGGUAGUCCACGCUGUAAACGGUGGGUACUAGGUGUGGGGUCCAUUCCACGGGUUCCGUGCCGUAGCUAACGCUUUAAGUACCCCGCCUGGGGAGUACGGCCGCAAGGCUAAAACUCAAAGGAAUUGACGGGGCCCCGCACAAGCGGCGGAGCAUGCGGAUUAAUUCGAUGCAACGCGUAGAACCUUACCUGGGUUUGACAUGGAUCGGGAGUGCUCAGAGAUGGGUGUGCCUCUUUUGGGGUCGGUUCACAGGUGGUGCAUGCCUGUCGUCAGCUCGUGUCGUGAGAUGUUGGGUUAAGUCCCGCAACGAGCGCAACCCUUGUUCACUGUUGCCAGCACGUUAUGGUGGGGACUCAGUGGAGACCGCCAGGGUCAACUCGGAGGAAGGUGGGGAUGACGUCAAGUCCUCAUGCCCCUUAUGUCCAGGGCUUCACGCAUGCUACAAUGGCUGGUACAGAGAGUGGCGAGCCUGUGAGGGUGAGCGAAUCUCGGAAAGCCGGUCUCAGUUCGGAUUGGGGUCUGCAACUCGACCUCAUGAAGUCGGAGUCGCUAGUAAUCGCAGAUCAGCAACGCUGCGGUGAAUACGUUCCCGGG